rnacentral:lncRNA from 10 species
UGAGAGGACACAGAAGUUAGCUGAGAAUCUGGCUGGGAGCUUACUAGUGAGAAGUCCUCAUGUCAAAGGAGAGACUAUCUGAUAUAGAUCAUAGACAAGAGAAAAUAUGACACCAGAAAGGACUUCUAGGCCAUGAUCAACUGAGAGAGGGAGAGAGAUAGAGAGAGAGAGAGAGAGACAGAGAAGGGAGACACAGCACCAGCAGUAGGUUUUAGCAGCAGAUACCCUUAGACGGCCAAACACAGAGCUUGGACACCUCAUUGGUCUCCUAUCUGAGGAACAACCCAGAUCAGCCAUUCCAUAGCUAAGAUCAAAGAGAAUCCAGAGACUAUCUUGUGGAUCCAAAAUUCCCAUGGCCGCCUUCUUCUCACAAGUGAAGGGUGUUAUCAUAUGUUUGUCCUAAGAGAAGCAGUGUGGAAGAUACUGCUUGGAUGGCUACUGAAUUCCCAGUGAUUCUGCAUUCCUUGGAAAUGGGCCUAGUGACCAGAGACAUCCUAAACUCAAAUGGCAGGGAAAAAAAAACACUGCCAUCUAUUCUGACCUCUGAAGUCACCAUGCCCAUUAACUGAGGAUGAAGAAGACAGAAGGAAUACUGAAUGUCUGAAGAGAGAGAAAACGUUAUAAAAUUAUCCUUUCAAAAGAUGGAAGAAUAAAUUCACUUGGCAAAUGUGAUAUGGACUCACCUGAGGUUUGAAGUCAUCCAAAAAGAAACCAAAAAUCAUGGUUUUGAGAUUUUGUCCAAAUUCCUUCAUUAUCUCAGGUACAAAUGAAAAAAAAUUAUUCUAAUGUAGUUGGGUUUAAUGAGAGUUGAGAUUUUUCUAAGAAGUAAGGUAUAGGGGAAAGAAGGUAAGGUAGUUAAAGGUACCUAAGAAAUUAUUAUAAAAAUAAAUCAUGAACUGUAAGUUGAUAAGGAGGGAAAUGGGCAUAUAAGGGGGAUCAGGGGCAUUGAAAGGAUAUUAGGAUCAAUGGUUUGACUUUCUAAUGGUAUUGAAGAAUUAUAAAAGCAGGAAUAUGGAAGGGAUGGACUGAAAAGAAAGGAGAUGAUACAAGUAUUAUUGUAUGUUUUCACAUUUUAUCAUUUCUGAAAAAGGAAAGAUAAUGGCAACUUAAUUUAGUAAAAUAUGGUAAUAAUUGAUAAGGUCUAGAAUAUGAUAAUAAAUAGUGUUGCUGAGGUGGGUGAAAAUCAACAAACUGAAUGAAGAUCAACAUUCAUUAAAACAUUGAAUGUGACAUUAUCAAAUGACAGGAGUAGUGAUAAGAACAUCGGAAUACAGGUGUUUUCUAAAGUGAUUUCUAACUCUCAUAUGCUAUGAUUCUAUUAUUAAAACAAGUACAGGCAAACUUUUUACUUGAUUUACUUUCUAUAUACAAUGAGACUAAAAGAUAUCCAUCAACUGACCAGGGUCUACAGGGUAUAUUAUAAGUUGAAUUGAAAUGUCACGGGGCUGUCCUAAGUUCAAAUCAAGGUCAAAGAGAAAGACAGACCUUUACUUUUGGAUCUGUCACAAUAACAAGUAAGUGCUAUGAACUACCUGCAAAAAAGAUAAGAUGCUACCUGUGUAGAUGACAUGGUGAUGAGUGACAAGUCGUGGAUACUGUUCCAUAGUUUCAUUCUUAAUCUAAAUCACUUAGACAAGAAUCAUUAACUCCUUUGAUCAGAAGUUUUUCCUGCCCAUACAAUUAUAUACAAUACACAAUCACUCUAGGAGGGCAUAGUGUCAUGAAGGAGAAAACGAUAGACUUGUUUUUCCAUACUCUGUAGGUACAUAGUUAAGUAUUAAUUCCAUAAAGGUUUGAUGAUGAUGACCGGUGGUGGUGAUGAUGAUGAUGGU